rnacentral:sRNA from 1 species
AUCGUCCCACGCGAUGCGGCGAUUGUGGAAGGCGACACAACAUCGAUUCGCCGUGGUGGGUUUUUGACGCUGAUUUGUGGGAGUCAUCGACGAUUCGUUGGCAAUAUCGUUCUUCCUUUCUCCGGUGAGUCUCAUAGUCGUUGUGUAGUGUGUUUUGUGUCCUCGUCGUCCUCGAUCCGAGCUUGUCGUUGUUUCCUUGUGUGCUGCAAGGUUUUAGUUGUUUCGAUUUGGAUAUGUGAUGUGUUCGAUUUUCGAAUGUAACUCGGUAAAUCCCCUUGUUUCUUAUUCAAAUCUGACAUGGUGAUCUCCUUGUGUGAGUUUUUCCCUUUUAUUUAGGGUAUUUUAGUUUUUUUGUGGGGAUUUGUGCUAUGCAAUGUUUCAAUUUCGAGUUGUGUGGUGUGAGUUGUCACGGUGAGCCCCUUCUGUGAGUUUUUCCCAUUUGUUUAGGGUAUUUUAGUUGUUUCCUGCGGGGAUUUGUGCUAUGCGAUGUUCCGAUUUGGAUCUGUGUGGUACAAGUUCCUCAUGAUACAUAGAGUAGAAGAUGAGGAGAAGCCUUUGCGAUGCAUUGUUCAGCCUUGCUAGCAUGCUAUUGACCUUCUCUGAAUCAGAAUUAACACAUGUUAUUUUGAUGACAGUGACUGAAUCUCUUGAAGCAUCCAUGGCCUUCUUAUGCUAAAAGUCUGCAGAUGCUAUAUAUGCUAUGUGGAAUCUAGUUUGGUAUUUUUACUCUUCGGUGACCACCUUAGACUAAUUUUAUUAGAUCUGUAAAGAGCACAAGUUAUUGAAAAUUUUGAAAUGCAUCAAUGAGUUUCCAACAUUUUAGUAUUAUCAUGCAGAUUGUCUGACAUUUUCAUGACCAAGUCUGCUAUAAAUAUAUAGUGAUGCACUUUUGCUGCAACAAUAAAUUGUAUAAAAAUGAUUAGUCCCUCAUGUCAAAUUAGAAGUAGUAGCUAAACAUGAUUUUCUUCUAGUUUGAUUUAUAUGUAAGACCAAUUAGUGGGAUAUGAUUAUGUAUGGUUCUGGACAAGAGCUUCUUUGCUUCCUAUGAGCAUUUUUUUCUUGAGCUGAUUGUCCAGGAUUGAGAGGAAAAGGACACAUGGAGAAAUGGGCUAGUCUAAAAAAAUAGAAAGCAUACAUAUAUGCACAACUGAUUGAUUUACAUUCUUGGAGUGCUAGUUCUAGUUUUAUUUUUACAAUGCAUCCAGCAUGCACCUAAUUGAAAUUUUGAUUGCUUGUCUGCAUUUGGUUGCUUGUGUCCCCUGAUCUGUCCAGAUCAUCUUUCUCCUUGAUUCCUGUUAUCAAUGCAAUGGAAAGAUUCUAUAAUAUAGUUAAAAUUCCUGGAAAUAAAUGCACAACUAAUUCUUAAUCUAUAUGAGUUCAGCACAAUUCUGACAUUAAGUUUAAAAUAUUUACCUGAAUUUGUUUCUUGUAUUUUCAUACAAUUCUUUCUUUCUUUCUCCUUGUUCCUAUGAGUCCUGUAAAUAAUGAGUUGAGUCAGUUGGUUUGAUAUUGGAAUUGAAUUUAUUCAAUUGCUACUGCUAUUUCUUUUUUAGAUAGUGGAAAAUUUAAGAACUGCAUACUAGUUUGAAUGUGACUAUUUGACUUGUAAACAUGUAUUCUUAAAUAAGAAAGCAUGUAAAUAAUUAAAAUAGUUCUAAAAUUAAUCGUGCUAUAACUAUAUGAUCCAAUUUAUAUCUAGUACUAUAAGUAUUUGAUUUUAAACUAGUUCAUGAUUCUUUUUCUAUUGCGACUAAUUAUAUUUUGCAAGUUGAUCAACCAAAAUUGGAUCAAAAUUCUGGUAAGUCUCUAAACUAAUAAGUACUAGUAUAAUGCUAAAACACUUGUUCUAAUCUAAAAUAGUAUCAAUUACAACAGGUCUAUAUUAAAUUUACAGUGUAGUAAAUAUGUUAUUCUAUCAAAAUACUACUGUAAAUUAUGUAAAUAAGUAAACUUUAUUCCCCACAUAAUAAACAGUAGAAGUAUUGUGAUCACCUUUUUUGUUUGAAUAGAUGCUAUCCAUUCGAAGCAACUCUGUAUUCUUUGAAAUGUUUAUUUCCUCCAAUCGACCUGUAUUUUGAAAUUUUGAUGUAUGAUAAUCCAAACAAAAUUCUUAAUAAUGAAAAAUGAACAAUCAACUAAAACUAUAGAUUUGAUGAGCUAAUCUUGGAAACACAAAUAUGAAUUACAAUGUUUUUGGCAAACAGCGUGGUAGAAGAAUGACCAGUAAUUUUGUUUUGAAGUGAGCAACCUUGCACAUUUUAAUUAUUUUCCCAAAUGAUGAUAAUUAACAUUUUUAGUAAACACAUCAGUGUUUUGUGGGUUAUCUGGUGAGAAAUACUAACCUAUAGUUAACGUUUGUUUUCCCAUAGCAUUGUAUCUUUCUGUGAUAUGUGAAAGUAAGUGUAUUAGAGCUCUCUAGUUUUAACUUUAAUAUGUGGAAUAAACUGAAAUUGUCAUUUUGAUUCAUGCAUUUGUUGUCUAUGGUAUUCAAGUUCUUAUGCAUUUGAUGCAUGUGUCUUCAUACAACUAUUGAUUUUUCCCUCCUUGUUUCUUUCUUUCCUGCAAAUAACGUAUUGUAAUUGUUAAAGUUGACUUAUAUGAUGCUUCUAUCAAAAUUAUAGUGUUUUUUUCCUGUAAUUGUAUCACAUAUGUACUGUAAUUGCAUAACUUUUGAGUUUAUACAUUAGGAUGAAAAUCGAAUGGUACUCUAUUGGUGCUAUAUUUGAAAAAUAAUAUGGCAGAUUCCUGAAAUUAAAAUUUGCAUUAGUAAUCAGAUUUUGCAGAUCCCUGAAACUUUGUUGGCACCAUCAUGUUUUUGAAAUAGAAGGGAUUAUGAAGGGAUUAUAUACCUCUAGUGAGAUGUUAUCAGAUAAGCACUCAAGUUCUGAUCCAUUGUUUGAUAAAAAUAGUACUUUAUGUUUCUAAACAGAUUUGAGAUUCAAUUAUAUAUGAUAAUAUACAUUAAUUGUUCUUCUACUAUUUUUGCAUGAAUAAAUUUUUAUUUACACCAUGCAUACUGUAUUUAAGUGUGAAACAGUUUGUAUGAAUGAUCUACUUGUAAGUUUCUGAACUUAAUAGUUAAAAGAUUGCUUUGAUUCAAACAUUGAAUUGAUUAUGAUUUCAAAUCAAAUAUUUUAUAUUUGUGAUCAUCUGAUUUAUAAACUAUGUUCAUUUUUAAUAUAAUUAUGAAUUGAUUUAUAAUUUGAUGUAUUGAAAAGUUAUAUGGAACUAAAGGUAUACAUUUACAUUAAAUGCCACAUGGUGCACAAAUUCUAAUAUAUUGGUUGUUUCAAAUUUUAGAUUUUGCAUCACUUACAUAAAAUUAGUACUGAAAUUACAAUAUUUUUUAUAUGUAAUUCAUUAUCAAUUGGACUAUAGUUUGUUUGAAUAAUCUCUAUUGAUAAUGUGCAAAAUAUACAGAGAUGCAUAAUGUGUUGUUUGGCAUUCCAACACACGGUUACCAUUCUGAUUUCAGUAUAAGAUAAUUUGAGUAGUUCAUAGAAUCUUUUUUUCCAUAUGUCUCCAGAUGUUGUUUACCUGAGGUUGUUUCUUCCAUUUUCUUUGAUUUUGUUCCAUAUGGCUGGUUGGAAAUUUUGUUCUGAUUAGUGCUGCAUUGUUUCUCUUGCAGGGAAGUUGAUUUGAAUUGGUGUCCUAAGAGGGAAGCCAUGAAUGCGAAAAAGAUAAGUACUGCACACUAACUUUUUGAUAUGUUAAGAGUUUUGAAUUUUGUUGAUAUCGAUACGUUACACUGACUAGUUCGUUGAAAUUAUCUAAAAAAAAUGUAAGGUAAAAUUAUCAUGACAUUACAACAAUUCUGAAUUUUUUAGGUCUAGUUCUAUUUCUAAAAUGACUUUUUUUGAUAUUCAGGUUUGCAUUUAUCUGCCUGAUGUGAGGCCACUUUUUUUUAUAGAGAAUACUUCCUGAUCUGUAUGUUUGAAACUUUAUCAAUUUACUUCCAUGUUACUUCUGAAAUUUAACUCUAGAUAUAGUAUUGUGUUAAAUAAUGAACUGAGUUAGUAGUUUGUGUUAGUUACAGGAAUUUACUAUUGAAAUUUCACCUUUUUUGUGUAAUUUUUUAACUAAAUAACUGUAAUAUCUUACCUGAUCAGUUUCUGUUUUUGAAUUG